rnacentral:rRNA from 1 species
UACCAGCACCCCGAGUGGUCGGGACGUUUAUUGGGCCUAAAGCAUCCGUAGCCGGUUCUACAAGUCUUCCGUUAAAUCCACCUGCUUAACAGAUGGGCUGCGGAAGAUACUAUGGAGCUAGGAGGCGGGAGAAGCAAGCGGUACUCGAUGGGUAGGGGUAAAAUCCGUUGAUCCAUUGAAGACCACCAGUGGCGAAGGCGGCUUGCCAGAACGCGCUCGACGGUGAGGGAUGAAAGCUGGGGGAGCAAACCGG